rnacentral:rRNA from 1 species
AAUGAACGCUGGCGGCGCGCCUAAUACAUGCAAGUCGAGCGAGAAGACGUAGCAAUACGUUUGUAAAGCGGCGAACGGGUGAGGAAUACAUGGGUAACCUACCCUCGAGUGGGGAAUAACUAGCCGAAAGGUUAGCUAAUACCGCGUACGCUCCUUGGACUUCGGUUCAGGGAGGAAAGCGAUACCGUGGGUAUCGCGCUCUUGGUUGGGCUCAUGUCCUAUCAGCUUGUUGGUGAGGUAACGGCUCACCAAGGCUUCGACGGGUAGCUGGUCUGAGAGGACGAUCAGCCACACUGGCACUGCGACACGGGCCAGACUCCUACGGGAGGCAGCAGUAAGGAAUAUUGCGCAAUGGGCGAAAGCCUGACGCAGCGACGCCGCGUGGGGGAGUGAAGGUCUUCGGAUUGUAAACCCCUUUCGGGAGGGAAGAUGGAACGAGCAAUCGUUCGGACGGUACCUCCAGAAGCAGCCACGGCUAACUUCGUGGCAGCCGCCGCGGU